GGAAUUGUCAUGUUGGGAAAGCGACAGUUGGGGCAGUUAGUUCAGGGAGAGGGAAGAGAGCAUGAAUGUCGGGCUAGCGGUAGAAGUAAGUCCUGUGGGGAAUUUGUGAAAGACAUCUGGUGAGGGGAGACAGUGAUCAAGGGCUGGGAGUGGCUGAGGCAGGUAGAGAAAGAAGAAAACAGAGGAGGAGGAGGAGGAGAGAACAGAUGUAAGGUGUAGGGCUAGUCCUUCAGCCUGCAAGGCCAAAGAGCAGUGUGAGAGGGUCGCCUCACAGGAACAGCCAGGACAUCAAAAACUGGUGGGGGAGAAGAAUGCAAAAUUGGUUUAUUUUAUAGGAAAUAAUAUAGCCUUGCACGGGUAUUAUAAUCUGGAGAGAAGUUGUUCCUUCCCUCUUUAAUAAUAAUAAUUUAACCAAGGCGCUGGCGUAGACUUCCAAGCUUCUUUCCCAGAUCGUCAUAUGCAGGACAUCUCUGUCUCUAUCCCUGGCAUAUCUCCAGGUAGGGCUUGGAAAGUCCUCUGUUUGAAACCCUGGAGAGGCUCUACCAAUCAGUGCAGAAAAAACUGAGCAAGAUGAACCAAUGGUCUGAUUUAGUACUAGGUAGCUUCCCAAGUUCCUAUUGAACCUGUUCCACACCAUUGGCUGCUGAGGGGCAUAGAUGGGGGAACUCAAAAUAUAUUGUGGCAUUCAGGGAAAGUGAAUCUAGACUUGAUAUCAGGGAUGGGAAAGAUCUAUUACAGUUUCCAGUGGCAUCUCCAUUGUAGGCAUAUUGUGCAGCCCAGCUCUAAGUGCCUGAUGGAUUUCUUCCUAAUUGUCCUAUAGGCAAAUAUUCCUAUGAUUUUAUGUUCCAGUACUGAAGCCAUUUGUCCAGAUGGGGAAAGUUAGUUUCCUGUGAUGGAAGCUGUUAAAUAAUCAGCUGCAACUACAUGGACAGGGCAUUAUGAACCGCAGCCAAGAGGAUAGAUUUCAAGAGGUGGAGGUCCCAGGAUUAAUUAUAACAGAUUACAUAAUCAGGUCCUUCAUUUAUAAUCUUUUGGCAAACUGUCCCUAAAGCUACAAAAGUGGGGACCUCUGCUCCCUAUUUAGAUAAUUGAAAUCCUUUCAGAACAGCAGCUGAAAACAAUGCUGGAAUGGAAUAAAUAGCCUCACCUCUUAGUCUUGAAGGUUCUGCUUGGAUUCUAUAGAACAUGGAGAAACUGGGAUAGGUGGAAAGGGAUUGACAUAGCUUUCCACUGCUCUUGCCUGCAAGACCAGUAGUUUAUAUAAUCCCUUUGGUCAGUCUAACCAUCAUGUGCUUGUGGCUUCCCACUUUUUAGCUGCAUAUAGGUAACAUUAAUUGGAGUCUAGCGUUAUAGCCAUUAUUCUGCCCCCAGCUUUGCAGAUUCAUUUGUGUGUGGUGAUGUCCCUGUUGUCACUGCCCAUGGGUUAGUUCUCCAGAUGUUAUUGGAAUCCAACUUCCAUUAGCCUCAGACAUCAUGGUAAAUAGGGGAGAUAGGAGUUGAAAUCCAGCAACAUAUAAAGGGCCACAGGUUAGUCACCCCUUGUAUAAAUCAGGGCUGGAUUAACUAUUAAAAAAUGAGCACACAGUUAUUUGCACUUCUGAAAAACAAUGGGGUUCCCCUAAGGAUGUGAAUAUCUGUCUCUCUUGUUACUCUCUGUCUCUCUUUCGGCUCCAUUGCUAUUGACACUCACCACCUGAGUUGGCUAUUAGAGGCAGCAUUUCCAGAAACACCCAAUGUCUCUCAUGCUUUGUUACUCCUUUAUGGGCACUGUCCCUGAGCAAGCUGUUAGAAUUCCUGCUCCAUGAUUGCAGUCAUGGGAUUUUUGUCUAUCACAUGACGGUGUAUGUUUUUACUCCACAGAGUAGGAAGUGACGGAGACAGGAUGUUUGUGUUACUGUAUUCCGUGAAGAGGGACUAUUGUCCUUUGUUCUUUUUCUCUCUUUGCUGUCUGAUGCUAGAGAGAGAGGGAGCCAUGUUGCAGUGCUCCAGGUGUGUUUAUAUGUAAAUAAAGUAUAUUAGCCAAAAUGCUGAGUUGCUGAGGUCUGUUACGCAAACUGCAAAGACGCUGCAGAUCCCUAAGUGUGCCGAUGUCUGUUGGCAUCAGUUGCUGUGAUGUUCGGGCUGAAGAAAGCUAAUGAAGCUCCUGAACGAUUGACCAGGAGGGAGAGAACAUGCCAGUUGGGCAUGUGUCUCUGCCAGGGUCCUACUCGAGUGUAGGACGCGUGAAGUGGAGGUACCAAAGAGGUCAUCUUGAUUCUGCAUUAAAAAAAAGUGAGAACAAAGAAUGGCAACUCUGGAGAAAAUGGCUAGACACAGAAGCAACCCUUGUUCAAGUGUUCGUGCGAUGCUGUUGAAAAUCAUUCUAGAACAGGGAGAGCCAGCGUGGACUAAAACUCCCAUCAGCCCUGCCAUCAUACUGAAUAGUCAGGGAUGAUAGGAAUUGUAGUGCAAUACCAUGUGAAAAACACCAUGCUAGGUACCUCUGCUCUAGAAAAAUUCGCUGUGGCAGAAAGCUUUUGCAUCAUUUAGGAUGCCCUGCCAUGGGCAAUCUUCUCAUAUAGCAAUGGCAGACCCGAAUGCCAUCUCUUCUCUGGGGCAUCCAGGUCCCUUUGAAGCUUCUGAAAAAAUUCCCAGGUCUUGUAAUUAGGGGACUUUCAUGCCUUUAAGGGAGGACAAAAACACACACACAACCUGCAAGCCUGGAUUGCAUGUCAAAGAGCUUUCCAUGGCUUUUUGUUUUUUAAAUGCGUAGGCUCAAAGCUGGCAAUGUGCUAAUUAGAAAUUUGUAUCAAUGUAAAUGAUUUCUGCAUGCAGAUUAGAGCGUAUCUGGCUCUCCAAAGGUAUUUUUCCCUAGACAGGUUUCAGGGGAGAGUCUGAGAUGGAAGCUGCAUUUGGUGCUGUUUGUAAUAUCCGAGUCACGAUCAGUGGAAACUCAUCUAUCAAAUCAAGGCUAUAUUUGAAGUACAAAGGCAGGGCACAUUUUUGCUGAGGAUCAUCCCCGAAGACAAAGGCUUCCUGCAUUAUUUAAAAGCAUCCCUGAUGAAUCCUUGUUAAUAAGGCUAGCUCUCUCAGCAAGCCAACCAGCAGGAAAAGCAAGGCAGCUUUCCCUUGCAGCUGAAAACUGGGUCUGUGGCAUUCAAAGGGCCAUUGAUUUUCAUUUCCCAUUUCAACACCCACAAAGGCUGGACGUGGCCUCUUCAAAUCUGUUAAGCACCUCUCAGAUGCAUGUCGAACAUAAAUCUGUGCAAACCACAGCAGGACAUGCAUUUGCCAUACAUUUGUCAAAGAAAUACAUUUAUGGAAGAAUGGACAGGGAGAAAGGCCUUUGUGGGUUUUGGUUUGCAUGGAAUAGAUCUGGUUCAACCAGCUCAAAUCAAUUGACAGUCUAGUAUGAAUGGGGAGAAAUUUGGUUUGGUUAGAACCUGACUAAUUCUCGCCUCCUGACACAGUUCUUCAACCAAAAUGCAGCGGUCCUUCAGAAUUUGCUCUUCUCUGAAUUUUGCAGUGCUGUUCUGCAACCAAAGGAAGUGUACAGAAAUGAGCUUUGGGGGGGGAGGGGGCAUGAAAAAGCAUAAAAUAGCAAAAUGCAUUACAGUAGUGGGAAAUACACAUAUAAAAACACAUAUGGGGGGGGAACAAGAUGUGCAUAGCCGGACAAAUGUGCACUAAGAUGCGGACCAAUUUUCACGAGGACUUUUAAAAAUUGCAAGCUGAUGCUGAAAUGUGGUGAACUGAACUUAAGUUUGUAAUAAUAAUGAUGAUAAUGAGGAUGAAGUUGAUAAUAAUAAUAAUAAUAAUAAUAAUAAUAAUAAUUUAUAUCCCGCCCAUCUGCCUGUGUUGCCAUAGCCACUCUGGGCAGCCCCCAACAAAUUUAAACCACAGCAAAACUUCAGAUGUUUAAAACUUCCCUAUACAGGGCUGCCUUCAGAUGUCUUCUAAAAGUCCAAUAGUUGCUUUUUCCUUGACAUCUGGUGGGAGGGCAUUCCACAGAGCGAGCGUGACAACCAAGAAGGCCCUCUGCCUGGUUCCCUGUAACUUUACUUCUUGCAAUGAGGGAACUGCCAGAAGGCCCUCAGAGCUGGACGUCCGUGUCCGGGCUGAACAAUGGGGGUGGAGACGCUCCUUCAGGGGACAAAGCCAUUUAGGGCUUUGAAUGCCAGCACCAACACUUUGAAUGAAAGUCUGAGAAACCAAAAAUGAUGGAUUAGAUCUGUGCAUUCUAGGUCAGGCAUAAGCCUUAGGUUGGCACCAAUUUGGACAGGAAGGAGAAAUGUUGGGCAAAACACAGACACUACACUCUACAGGGGCAUAAGAAGACGGGUCUUUUUUCUACUUCAAAGGGCUCCUGGGGGGAAGCCAGGUUUCUCUCCAAUAAACAAUUGCAAAUGUAUUCAGGAACAGUAGAUUAACAGUGCAUGGCCUGUUUAACCGCAGCCCAGUGUCCAGUCUGCUUCUUGGACUGUGUUUUGAAGCACUGCCAGAGAGCUGGAUACAACUCGGUUAACAGCUGGUCUUUCCUUAUCUUCAUUGUAUUUCCACCCUGUCAGUCUAAGUUUAUCGUCUUUCCCUCAAGGGAAGGGUGCAUGUCUCCUUACUGUCCCCCUACUAUCCCAUUUGGAUCACAGAGUGGUUCCAGUAGGAGAUACCCUUGCAAGAACGGAUUGGCAAGGGCGUUAUUUGCUCCGGCAACAACAAAGCCUUGGAUCCGAAGAUUUGUUGUCAAGUUUACAAAGGGGGUGUUUCCCACCCUUUCCUCCCACCCUACCCUUGUAGACAUCUGAGAUCUCCAAAAAAAAGUCUCUCUUGAAGGUCAGGGGCCAUCAUGAAUAUUGUGGAAUGGGACACAGGGGCUGCUGGGUGUGGAGCCAAUUCCUAGGGGCUGAGGUCCCUUUGGCCCCUUUAAUAAAAUAUUUUAGAGGGCCAGCCCCCCAGCUGAUGGACAUUGUCAUUCCAAUAGUGUGUAUGCACCGCAUCUUGUGAUUGAUUACCUUCCCCCCCUCCAUAUUUUAUUCAAGUUGGCACCCCUGGUGGUGGGAGAUGGGAAAUGUAACUUUCCUUCUGUGAACUUCCUUAGGAUCCAUGCCAAAGCAGAGGCUCAGAGAGACUCCAAUAACCAAAAUGUCUCUUUUACUUCUUGUUAUUGGAAAGGGUGAUAUUAGAGAAGCUUAGGAGAGGAAGGGAGUGCCUCUCUUGUACCACAUGCAGUAUCUUUAUAAGUAAAAAAAAAGGUAAAGUGACCCCUGACCAUUAGGUCCAGUCGUGGCCAACUCUGGGGUUGCGGUGCUCAUCUCGCUUUAUUGGCCGAGGGAGCCAGCGUACAGCUUCCAGGUCAUGUGGCCAGCAUGACUAAGCCACUUUCUGGUGAACCAGAGCAUCACACGGAAACGCCGUUUACCUUCCCGCCAGAGCGGUACCUAUUUAUCUACUUGCACUUAAGGGUGCUUUCAAACUGCUAGGUGGGCAGGAGCUGGGACUUAGCAAUGGGAGCUCACCCUGUCGCGGGGAUUCAAACCACCGACCUUUUGAUUGGCAAGUCCUAGGCUCUGUGGUUUAACCCACAGCGCCCACCCGCAUCCUAUCUUUAUAAGUACCAGAAGAUAGUUAGGUCUGGUUAAGGGAUUUUGACGCACACACAUCUUUCUUCCUGGCCAACUGUUUUAGGAGGAGGAGGAGGAGCAGCAAAAUGUAAUUCCCAUUUAUAAAAACAUAAUUUAAUUUUCUCACAUACGAAAGAUCACAGCCUUUGACUGAAUUUAGUUAGAAUAGCUGCUACUCCAUGGUUGUCUGCACAAAAUCACUAAUGUCACUAGGGUUACCGCGUUCUACUUAUAAAUCUGAAUUGUACCCCUUUACUAUUAAAAUAUCCUGAUUGUGACUAACAGGAUGGUUAAAGUGAUGGCUAAGCUUAUGAGUACUGAAGUUGUUUUAUGUUUGUGAUGAGGCUUGCCUCCAAGCAAAAACGGUUGGAGACAGGCCAUUAAAUGUGAAAUAAUGUAAGUAGGCAAUUUGCAUAAGUAGACCAUUUGUGUGAGCGGGAAAUGUGUCAGGCUGCAAUCAUUUACCCAUUUUCCUGAGACCAUGCCUCCGGAUGGAUCAAGCUGUCACUUUCGGAUUCUCAUUUUUUUCACUUCUUAAAUUCAGCUCACCACAUUUCUACACAAGUUUGCAAUUUUUAAAAGUCCUCAUGAAAAUUUACCAGCAUUUUCCCAAACAGACACAUUUUUGUAUGUUAUUUUGCUGGCAAUUUCUCCCGAACAAAAUGCUGGUGGUUUUUUUGUUUGUUUGUAUUGUUUUUGGUUUUUUUGUAUGCUGUUUUCACAAUUACAUGCAAUUUCCCACAAUUCCCCUUAAUAUACACAUUUUUGUACAUAUUUUGCUUGAAAACUUGAACAAAAUUUCUUCUCCAUCCCACAAACAGGGCACUGAAGUCCUUGCUCAACCACUGGGUGGACUUGCACACGUUAUUAUUUUCCAGUGAAAUCUCUGCUUCACAAGGUUGUUGUGAGAAAAUGAUAUACCAUAGUCUAGGCAGCCCUGAGUGUCUUGGAGGAAAGCUGAGUGUGAUCAUUUUUGGUGGUGGGACCCCACUUGUUCAGUAUCCUCCCUAAGGAGACUCACCUGGUGCCCACUUUGUUACUAUUUAAGUGUCAAGCAAAUACCUUUUCCUGGCUUCUAAUUUCUUAAUUAUUUUAAUCUGCUGUGACUUUUGGUUGAUUGUUGUUUUAUCCUGUGCUGUUGUUUUGUUUUAUAUCUUUUCUAAUAAUUGUAUUUGUAUGUUCUUAUAUUACUCUUCUGUAAGCAUCAAGAGAAUGGUCACUGGCCAUUAAUAAUGUGUGGUAUAGAUUUCUGCAGAGUGUAAGGUUCAGAAAAAGCAGUUAUAAUAGUAAUAAUAAAGAAAUAACGAAAAGGCAGCUAGGCACCUGGCCUACAGCAAAGAAAGUACCGGUAACUCUUUAUGUAUGGAUAAUUGAAUCUCCUUGUUUGUAGAAAUUUAUGCAGUGUGAGUUAGACAGAGAAAAUCCUGAGCAAAAUAAAUAGUCUGUCUGUGGCUGAAGGUUAUCCUAUUUUAAAUGAAGAGAUAUCUUUUUUACUCCCUGGAACAGUUAAUGAAGCAAUUAAAUAAGGUGACACUGAAGAUGGUGCCUCCUAUCACCCCAAUCAACACUUUUCUUAAUGUGACACCUUCCUGGCUAUAAUUUUCUUGACCUCUUGUUUGCAUACAAGUUUUCUGUCUAUUAAUGCUCAUUGAAAAAACACACUGACUACAGAUUUUACUAGAGCCAUUAUUCUCAAGCGCUCGAUCUCAAGUGACACACUGCCCAAUCUAAAUAUAAGGCUGAAAUAAUAUUCUUUUUAUCUGGGAGUAAUCCAUAUUGAACUCAUCAAGACUCUCUUUUUGAUCAGACACCUAUAAUCCUGCACUGCAAAUGGGUUGCAUGCCUCCCCUUGUGUUUUGUGUUGAUUGCUGGUUCCAGAAACCUUUGAAGUCACCUCUUUUUGUUUCUCUUCACGCAGCAAAUCAUUUUGCUUCCACUCAGUGUCCACAGAUUAAUUGAACUCUUACAGGGAAUCAACAGGAGCUUGCAGCUGUUUGAACAGGAGGAAAGUGUGGUUUUUGAGUUCUCUGCUAUCAGUUCAUCUGUGGCUUGACUUGUUUUCUUGAACUGUUCUCCUUUGUAUAAGUUUUGAGUUCUCUGUCAUGGUUUGUUAUUUCAUCUAGCGUUCUCAGCCUCAGUGUUUGUCAUCUGUAAAAUGGGCACAUUCUCUUCUAGAAUUUUUAAAUGUUUAAUUCCUUAACAAUGUGCUCUCUCUCGCUCUCUCGCUGUGUGUGUGUGUGUGUGUGUGUGUGUGUGUGUGUGUGUGUGUUGUCCUACAUUUGCCUUAAUGUUGUGAUCUGCAUCUGAUCUCACCUGCGUAACUUGUUGUAUGUAGUUUUGCUUGCAACAGAGCUGGAGUUCACAUGCUGUUCAGUUUUUAGCAGUGAAUCAGCUGUGACAGCAUACUCACUGCAUUUCACUGAGAUGUACAAUCACCUUGUGGGGCAUCUUUAGGAGAAGAAAAGGCUAAGCCCUACACAAAUUCAGAGUGGAGUCCCUAAGACUGUUGAAUGGAGUAUUGUACGCCUCCUUCCAGCAACUCCUGGAGACCUCAUGGUGCCACAUUUUGCCUAAUGCAGCAAAAACAAUGCAAGAGGCAACAGUUACAAGUUGCCUGUCUCUGGGGCCACAGCAGGCGCUGUGAUUCUCCAUCAGAUUGAUUUUGGCCCCAGAGGCACAGUCCAUCUCUCAAGACAGAUGUCAAUGACAAUCGCCUUUGAAGCAUACCUGAAGCGUGCGGGAGGGCACAAAAUAACAAACACAAUGAGCAUUUGAUUUACUGAUAAAUAUACGAUUUGGGGCAGAUUUUGUUUACCAUUCAAACAUGUCAAAUGUCCAGGGAUGGUGAUUAUUCCAGCAACUAAGGUUGUAUUCAGUGAAUUACUACUCUAGAUUAGACCCUAAAUUAGUUGCGUCCAUUAACUCUAGUGGAUCUGCUCUGAGUUUAACUAGCUAUGAAUACAACCCUUAAAAAACUGGUCUUGUAUAUGUGCUAUACAUGAUUCGGAAUCAUGGUUUAGGGUUACAAUGCUUUUUGGUAUGUGAAAGUGUGAUAAUGAAAAUGUGGGUACAUCAACUUAUAUAUAUAUCAUCAGUUUUUGGGAGAACCAGGUGCCUUAGGGUGAAAGGCGGGUAAUAAAUUGUCGUUGUCAUCAUCAUCAUCACCAGCAGCAGCAGCAGCAGCUCUGACUAUUUCACUGUUGCAUGGAGACAUCUCAAUUUAAGCCUCCCCACAUUUUGCACAUGGCAUCAAAAUUAUCGGGGGUGUAUGUGCAGUAACUGUAUUUUAUUUACUUGUAAUUGGCAUACUUUUCUGACAGUAGAUUUAUGGAGAUUAUACAAUAUUCUGCUACUGGUUUCCUCUCCGCCUUCCACCCAACACUUUUGUGGUCCUGUGACAAUGUUAUCAUUUCAAAAGACUGGCUGAAUCCUUUUUAAAUGAUCACUUCCCACCUUGUCCUUUUAAAAGACAGAGUAUGUGUGCGUGUGAAAGACACAAUCUCAUCCCUGCUGAGGAUGAGAUUAAAAAUAAUUUGCAUAAGUGUCCCAGGUCCGUGGCUGCACUGCUGCUGUCCUAAUUGCACUUAUAGCAAGUGUGAUCUGUUUGAAGCAACCCCAGCAGUGAUAGUCCUGGGGCCCCAUUUUAAAUUCAUGUUACUAUUUUUGAAGGGAAUAUCUGUGGAGCACUAAGGUAACCCAUGGCAACCAUCUGCUAAACUGCAAUUCACACUGUCUAGUUUUAUCACAGAGGUGGUGAGUUAUUCAGGCAAUUCUGUUUGUGUGUGUGUAUGGAAAGGGGGUUGGGAAUCAAUUCUCCAAAUCUUGGCAACACAACCACCAUCUUACAGCAACUUUGCAUUUAGUUAAAUGGAACCAUUCAUAGCUAACUCCUCACUCUUUCUUUGUAAUCUGUUUCUAGACACAGGUGUAUUUUAAAAUUGCAGAAUGCAUUUCAAGUUUUUCUCACUGUCUCCUUCACUUUAAUGAGAAGGUUUCCUCUCUGAAAGGCUGAACAGUGUAGAAAACACUAAGUUCCUAUUGAAUAUGCCAAACUCAUAAUACAUCAUUUCCAUAAUGCAUACAUCAUAAUGCAUACAUCAUUAGGAAAGGAGCUGAAAAUAAAACUGCCAGAUCAUAAUGCCGUUAUACAAAUCUAUGAUAUGCCGCACCUCAGAAAGGAUGCCAUAGAGUUGGAAGAGGUUCAGAAAAAGGCACCCAAAAUGAACGGUGGGGUGGAACGACUGCCCUAUGUAGAAUGGUCGCAGCAAGGCAAGCAAGAGGCAACAUGAUAGAAGUGUAUAACAUUAUGUAUGGCAUGGAGAAGGGGACAGAGAAAAGCCCUCUGCCCCCCCCCCCCACAAACUCAUGGCACUAGGACUCUUGCACAUCCAAUGAACCUGAAGAUUCAAGACAGAUUGGGUUAAACCACAGAGCCUAGGGCUUGCCGAUCAGAAGGUUGGCGGUUCAAAUCCCCGCAACGGGGUGAGCGCCUGCUGCUCGGUCCCUGCUCCUGCCCACCUGGCAGUUCAAAAGCAUGAAGUGCAAGUAGAUAAAUAGGUACCGCUCCGGCGGGAAGGUAAACGGCGUUUCCGUGCGCUGCUCUGGUUCGCAGAAGCGGCUUAGUCAUGCUGGCCACAUGACCCGGAAGCUGUACGCCGGCUCCCUCGGCUAAUAAAGCGAGAUGAGCGCUGCAACCCCAGAGUCGUCUGCAACUGGACCUAAUGGUCAGGGGUCCCUUCACCUUUAUUUUUACCUUUACCUCAUAUCACACAUAGUUAAACUAUAGAACUCGCACCCACAGGAGGCAGUGAUGGCCACCAACCGAGAUGGAAUUAAAAGAGGAGACCAAGUCAUGGAGGAAAGAGCUAUUGAUGGCUUCUAGCCAUGAUGGCUAUGCUCUGCCUCCACAGUUGGCGGCAGCAAUGCUUCCGAAUAACAGUUGCUGGAAAUCACAACCGGGGCGGGAAGUACUGUAGUGCUCAAAUCCUGCUUGCGGGUUUCUCAUAAGCAUCUGGUCAGCCACUGUGAGAAAAGAGUGCAGGACUAGAUGGACCACUGGCCUGAACCAGCAGGCUCUUCUUAUGUUCCAUCCUGAUGAUCUUUCCGAAGGACAAAUCCUAUAGAGAAGGAAUAUGGAACUUGUGCCACACACACCCCAACCUGGUUGGACUACAGUUCCCAUUAUCACUGACCAUUAGCCAAGCUGAGUUAGAAGCCAACCACACCAUCUUCUCUAGAGGACAAAUCUGAUGGCACUUGAGUCCUAAGAAGUUGAGAUUAGGCCUUCUUCAGUGCAGCCCUUCCUCACAAGCCACAGAGAAGCCUCAUUCACACAUCAUUAUCAUCUGAACUGUGGCUUACUGGAACUGUACUGGCUUCAUGGGACAAACCUUGGCUGCAGAUCAUGGUUGAGAAAGAGACCUUAACCGUGACCUUGGGCUCAGAUAGCAUGCUAAGCCAACUUGUGGCUUAGAUCAGGCACAAGCAAACUCCGCCCCUCCAGAUGUUUGGGACUACAAUUCCCAUCAUCCCUGACCACUGGUCCGGUUAGCUAGGGAUGAUGGGAAUUGUAGUCCCAAACAUCUGGAGGGUCGGAGUUUGCCUAUGCCUGGCUUAGAUGCUGUCCAUACUAACCAGGGAGGAGCAAACAUGUUUGCACAGUCCGAGUAAGCAAACCCAGUGGAUUCAGAGGUCUACCCCUAGAAUUGCAUUGGUGGCUACUAGUCAUGAUGGCUAAAUGGAGCUUCCAGGCAGUGUGCCACUGAGGGCAAGCUGCUGCAGAACAACAACAGGAGAUGGCUACCCCCUUCUAAUCUUGCUUAUGAGGGAAAGGAUGCUGGACCUGACGGACCCUUCAUUUGAUCAAGCAGGGCUAUUCUUUGCUUCAUAGAUUUGUGAACAGACACCUGUGGGGGAAGCCAACAGAAUCUGGAAGGAAGGUGGGGAAAGGCUCCUCACCAUAGCUUCCCCUAUACCGUCCCCUCAUGCUGGCUGCAAGAGACAAUUAUUAGCCCGCAGUGGUGUUAUCAACCUGCACUGCUGGGUCAUGUUUCUGCCACUGCCCACAAUGGAAGAAGAAAGCAUUGAUUCCCAGCUUCUCUGUAUUGCAGCGGCAGAAGCUGAGCCUGUGCCUAUUGUGGUUAUUUCCACGCCAGAACCAAUACGGUUUCCUUAUCUGCGUAUGAAGAUGUCACAAUCCACGUGGAGUAUUGUGAAAUAUGCUAAGCAACCUGGGGCCUAUUCUUUUGUGGGCCCUGCAGCCUCUCACGCUUCCAUCAAAAGCACCAAGCUGGGAGCAAAGAAGCUCUUGUUUAGGUGCAACCAAUGCACACCAGUGGCUUUUAAACAUUGUUGGCAUGCACAAGGUAUUGAAGAUGGUGACUUUCUACAUGUGAGGGCACUCAUGAGAGAUGUUAUGGUGCUGUAUACAUUCUGCCAUUCCGUUGCAACUGCUGAUAAAUGUGAGAUCCAAUUCUAUGUGGGGAAAUUGUUGGUUUCAAUGAGGGCUCCGGUACAGAAGCACAACUUUUCUUGUUUAAAAUCACAGAACACAUCCUGGCGGCGUCUUCUUCUGUGGGAUAGAAUGUGGCCCUCCAGACCUCUCUAUCUGGCCCUCAGAACUCUGCCCAGGCUGCACUCUUCACCUAUUUCACCCCACACACACCCCAAGCCCUGUUCCUCCUUCUGAAGUGGCUGACAGCAAGGCACUUGCCAGGAGAGCUCCCUUCUCCAACCUUGUUUCCCACCAAUCAGGGCUCCCCUCUGCUUCUUCCUCCUCCUCCUCUUCCUGCAUCAGGGCUUGUCAACUGAAGCCCCAUCGCAACAGCACUGCAGGGCUCCUGACAGCCUUAUUGUAAUUUCUUUUCUCUCAGCUUAACGAACAAUUGCAGCACAAAAACCUUCAAGUUCCCAGCUCUAUUGUCUGGAGGUGUGGGUGGGUGUUGUGUAGUUGAUGAGGGUGGUGUGAGUCACCUGCCCACCCCCCCUCCCAGUCUUCUUCACCAUGCCCACUCCUUGGCUCUGAGUUGAAACUCUGACACAGUGUGGGGAAAGCCUUUUCAGCUUCGCCAAUCCCUUAUCACAGUGCUUUAUUUUUUCUCUAUUAAAAAAAAAUGUUUAGGGGUACUCUCAUUUUGACUCAUGAAAAUCACCAUUUUAUAGUUCAAAUCGGGGGAAAUAAAUACAGUAAAUGGACAAAAGUAGAAAGAUUCACAAAAUGCUUAGGGGUCUGCGUACCCCUGCAUCCCCCCCAGAAAAAAGCAUUGCCUUAUCAGUUACACACCCACACCCACCCACCCAUACAAUAUUACUUUGUGCACCAUUGCUGGUUUUUUUUUUUUUGGUUUUUUUUUUCAUAUGGUACAUAUAUAUUCAAAGUGUCAUAGUUCAGCACCUGCUUUUAUUUGAGCAUCCAUACUAUGUCAUGUAUAAUCAUCUCUCUAUACAAAACCCUCCUGUGGAUCAUUUUGCAAAGCAAAGGCAAUUCCAGCACCUGAUAGGGAUCAGUAACGUUGGGGUCUCCUAUUUGUUCAAUGCCCUGCCCCUCCUUGUAAUCUACUUACGUUCUUCCUAUAAGCUCAUCAUUCUGUUAAUAUUUCAGUUCCCGGCAUCUACUUAUACCGGGUGUACAACAUGUCAAAAAGCAGGCAGCAUCCAAUGGCUCUCCUCCUUUAUCUUAUCACAGAGGUUACAAGAAAUAACUGCACAUGCACAAGAGCUAAAUAAUUAAAUCCACACAGCCCUUCCAAUGUGCAGUGCAUUAAUGCAUGUUUCGCAAAGGUCUGCUACUACACCGUGCAGGUGCAAGAUCGUGUAGGCAGACCCCUUUUUUGUCACUAGUGCUUUAAGCAACAGCCAUUAAUUUUUUUCCAAAUCACACCUUUCCCCCCUCCUUUUAUACUGAAGGUAGGAGACAGAGGCAUUCUGGUUUGGGCUUCAGAGAGACAGCACUGGUGGCUCCGCAAACCCCAUCUCUGGGAAUUCAAUCACUGUAUAGAGAAAGGUGUCCUGCAAAGUGGGAAAUGGGAAAAGUUCUUAUCCCUCCCCCCAAACAUCCCUAUAUAAUACAGAAUGGUUAGUUUUUAACCUCAUAACAUGCAUUUCCCACACCCCCAAACUCUCAUGCCUGCUCCAAAAUGCUCAGCAUACAGUAAGCUGUUAGGGCCUUAGCAGGUCAAUUUUCUUUCCCUCCCUGCAACACCUUUUGUCUCUCUCUCCAAAAAAAAAAAGUUUUAAAAGAAGCAGUGGCUGAGUCACUGUUAAGGACAGUUCAGAGACAAAGUAUGACAUUUGGUAAUGAUUCAUUUCCUGUCCCUGCCUAAAUCUCUGCCUCCUUACUUAAUCAGCCAUGUUUCUAGUUAAUAUUGUGGUCAACAAAUGAAAGUUAUGUGAGCCCUUCUGUGGGGUUUUUCUUUAUCUAUACCUGACCACUGUGAGAAGAGCCUUCUUGGAAGUUUGGUCAUAUGGGUGACUCCUUCCAGACUAUGCCAACAAUGCUGUAGACUGCGCAUACCAUUUCCUGGAACACAUGAGGUAAAGGUCAUUCGGUGUAGACGCACGGCAGCCACCCACACACCAAAUUCCUUUGUUCAGAAUUUUUCUUGAAACUUGGUUUUUCCCAGAGGUCUGCUGAACUGAACAAAAAACAAACACCAAUAGAUCCUUACUUUUGUACAUUGGACACUGCCUCAAACCAGGUCAGACACUUUGCUCACCUAGCCCAGCAUAGCUUCCUCAGAUGAACAAAGCCUCUCCAGUGUCUCAGGGGGCAGUCCUGCCAAUUACCUGCAGUGGACAUAUCCACGAUUCAUGUUAGGGGGAUAGGAUUUAUGUGGAGGAGGGGGGCAGAACUGAGCUUCAGUUAAGUAUUUCUAUUUAUUUACUUGAUUUAGGGGAAGGGGCAGGUGCCCCCCUGGCUACACCCAUGUGACCUGCUACCAAAUUGCCUUUUUAUAAAACUGAUACCAGGGAUUGAACCUGGGACUUUGGCAUGCAGACCACUGAGGGCAUGGCCAGAGAGCUUUCUCUCUUUUCCUGCAACUUUCCCCUGUUGACUGCUGAAUCGGAAUAAGCAUCAAUGCGGAUUGACUUUGUUCCAACUCAGCAGUAAACAGUGGGGUUUUCCUAGGGAAGUGUGGACAAACUUAAAGUUAUGAUCAAUCCACCCUUAUCUACCAUCAGGCUGACCCAAUUUGAAAGCAGGAAGAGGGGAGACAAUUCCUCUUUAGAUCAUAUCCCCAUCCUGGGAACUAGUUUGUUAAGGGUACAGAGAAUCCUAUGAGGUAAACUACAGUUCCUAUGAUAUUUGGCGGGGAGAGCCAUGUGCUUGAAAUGUAUAGUGUCAAUGUGACCUAAGUAAGGGAUGGGGAACUGUCAUGAAGGCAGCUUGGGAUCAGAGAGGGAAGGCCCAGAGACCAAGACAGUGGCUGUCUAUCUGUUUUUUUAUAAUCCUCCCCUGUCAGUCAUGUCUGCUGCCUUGGAAUACCUGUUCAAGGAAGUUCAGCAAUCUAUGCCUAUUUGUUUCAUGAGCCUCGGGGCACUUGCUAGGAACCCAAGUUAACCCUAUACUACCCCCAAAGAGCAGACAGGUAAAAAUACACAAUCUUGUUUUAUACGCUAGCAGACCAGGAUAAUAAAGCCCAUUUCCUUCUCUGGCCCUGUCAGGGUGUUUCUAGACAAAUGGACAUAACUUUCCUGUAAUGUAACUUUUCUUUAAGUCCUGUUCAUCUGAGAUAGCCAUCAGCCGCAGGAACUUGUUUUUCCUUUUUGGCAAACUUGCAUAGAUUGACUCCUCGUUCCAAAUAUUCACUCAUUGUUCUCAACCAUUCAAAAUCUUCAGAUUCAACUCCCAACGUCACUGACCAUUGGCCAUGCUGGUAGGGACUGGUAGAAGUUGGGAAUACAGCAACAUCCAGAGAUCCACAGCUUCCCCAAUCCUCUUCAAAAUGAUCCUGUGGAUAAUAAAUUCCCACCCCAUGCAGAAGUCCCCUCAGUGUUGAUGCUCUUUACCGUUUGUGGCCAUAACAUUUUACAAAUCUUACGAGCUACGAUUUUCAGGCUCCCUGUAGACACACUUUUGGCAGCAUUGUUGAAACAUGGAGUACAGAUCUAGAUAGACUGACAGAAAGCAAAGUGUCUGUGUCUCCGACUCCUUGGAAGUCGAAAAACACAAAACUGUCUUUCUUCUGAAAGAAACUGCUGCGAUAAUAACAGUUUUCACAGCAGGGGGCUUGUUUGACCUCCAAAAUCCUCUCAAAUCCAGGGAUGCUCAUUGAACAUUUCACAUAGGUGGCAUUGCACGCUGACACAGUUGUGCUAUGUGACUUUAGAAAUAACAACGCUAUACUGAUGGGAAAGUAGAGGGCAAGAAACUUUUUUUUUUCAUUUAUGGUGGGAGAGCCCACUGGCAAAAAAGUUCUGGUCUAAUGUGUAUCAGGAGGUAUCUGCUAUCUUAAAGACUACUAUACAAAUGGCCCUGCAGUUUUCACUUGUAAAUAUAUGCAAUGGUCAUACUCAAAAGAUUGCAACCUAAAGGACAGGUAACAUGGCUGCUGGUGUAUCCAUGGCACAAAAAUGGAAGACUUUUCAGGAUCUGCUGAUAUCCUUGUGGUAUAAAAAAAUGUAUGAAAUCCGGCGAUUACAGAAAAGAUAGCCCAUAAUAUAAAGGUUUCCAAAGGCUCAAAAACCCAGAACAUUUUCAUACUGUUUGGUGAGACUUCUUAGAAUCAUCCUCUUUGUCAAAGAAAUAAACAACUAUCUGGCUUUUAGAAGAUAUCUGAAGGCAGCCCUGUUUAGGGAAGUUUUUAAUGUUUGGUGUUUUAUUGUGUUUUUAAUAUUCUGUUGGAAGCUGCCCAGAAUGGCUGGGGAGGCCUGGCCAGAUGAGCGGGGUAUAAGUAAUAAAUAAUAAUAAUUAUCAUCAUCAUCAUCACCAUCAUUUUCCUAGUUCUUAAAGUGCUACAGCUGUACAUUUACUUUGGAGUAAAGCCACUAAACUCAGUGGGGCUUAUUUCCAAGUAGUCAUUGCACUAUAUGUUACAUCACAAAUGUGUAACUAAAUCAUAGUGGCUUCAAGAAAGGAAUUUGAAGUAGAGUAGCAGCAUGAGGUAAGAGGGAUGCUGAAUCAUUUCUUGGCACAUCUCUCUCUCUCUCUCUCUCUCUCUCACACACACACACACACACACACACACACAAAACUCCUCUGUAAGAUGACCCUUGGGGUCCCUUCCAACUCUAUAAUUCUAUGAUCCUAAGGGUUCCAAACAGGUUUGGAAAUGGAAACACCCAAUUGGUUCCUUGCAGAAGAGAGAAGUGGCUUGGGGGCAAUUUGGAGCUAGAAAGCAACAGGCAGUGAAAGAGUUAAAUAUUAAACAAACAAACAAACAAACAAACAAACACACCCCACCAUGUUUUUCUGCCCCAGAUCCCUUUCUCAAAGCUGCCAUUGGGCUCUCGUUAUAUGUGCUUCAUGUAUGAGGUAUACUUAGGCCAGUCAUAAAUUCUGUAGGAGGCACCGCUGGUCACAUUCAGAAUUCCAUAAUUAGGGUCUUUAAGAGUCCUGAUCUAGGGCUCAUAGGGAGGAUGCAAUUUUCUGUCACCACAGAUUUCUAGGCUGUUCUCGGGCCAGUCGUUUGUUCUCUUAAUACCUCCAUUCCCCUUGAAGGAACUAAGGGAUAAUAGGUUUCUCUCUCACCGCACUGUUGUGUGGAUAAACACAUUAAAGCAUAAGAGACAUUCAUAUAGGCUGCAGUAAUUGGGCGAAAAUGUAUUAGGCAUGAAGGAAUGCAAGCGGGCGAUGGUGGUGCACAGACAGACUACCCCCAAGGCAGUGAAGCUGGUACAGAGAAUGAUUUAGCAAUAUGAAACAAAGGGGGCGUGGCGCCCUGGGACUUGUGGCAGAGGAGGCAGAGCAAGGGUGGCAAGACUUGGCAGGUGGAAGGAAGGGAAAGUUUCCUUUGCCUCCAGCAAAUGCAUGGAUCUGGCUGCAAGAGUUUGACAGCUGCUGAUUUCUGCUUAGUGCAUCUCUCAGCCCAAAGUUGUAGCCAACGCCUAAUCUGUCACUACAAGACACGGGGGGCAUUCAUGUGUUCAGGGAUAACCAGUGCUUUUUCUUCUUCUGGGGGGUACUCAAGGGUACCGGUAUCUUUCCCCCUAGAAGAAAAGCACUAGUUAAAAGUUUGGCAUUCACUGUAACAACUGGCAUAUUUUUUUCCUAGAAGAAAAGCCCUGAUCUAAACCAUGUGAAUAAGUUUGAGAGCUGCACUAUUUAUAGGGUGAUUGGUUUAUGAUUGGUUCAAGCUGCAUCGUAUUUAUUUAUUUAUUUAUUUCCCCCACCCAUCCUCCAGGGAGCCCACUGUGCAAUAUAUCUAUGGGUUUUCCCUCCCCCCCCCUCCAUAUUAUCAUCACAACAGACCUGUCAGGUAGGUUAGAUGGAGAACUGGUGAGCAGUCCGAGGUUACCUGGCAGGCUUCAUAGUUCAGUGGGGAUUUGAAUCCUGGAUAUAGGAUAUUCAUUUCCAGAAAGGUUAGCCUUUUAAAAAUUAAAUAGCAGGCAUGGGUCUGCAUCCUGGAUCUUGGUGUGAAGAGGUAGCAGGGGCUUUAAUUCCCCCUUGUGAUCCUGAUCCAGAUCAGAGGCAUGCAUGUUUGCUAUUUGCAUUGUAAGAAAAGCUGCCCCCCACCCAAUCCAAAUGGCUUUCAAAUCUGUAUUGGGACCACUCUCAGAUCAAUGGUUUAAAGCCCUUCUACUUCCCAAUCUGGACCAGGUCCCCUAUGCCUGCCAUUUGCUUGCUUAAAAGCCACUCACACAACUGCUAAUUGAGUGUCAUUUUGUCCAGUGUGGUUCUGAGUGCCAUUAACUCUUCCUCCAAAGAAUCCCAGUAGAUGCACAUACAGAUUCAGUUUUUAAAGCCAGUGAGAAUGCAGUGCAAUACUAUGAGCGACCAUCAGUCCCUCCUGCAUGCAUACCCAUCUGAUAAAAGAUUAUAGCAGCCUUAUUAAUUAUAGUUAUUGUACCAGACCAAUUUGUCAGCUCAGAAUGUGUCUCAAGAUCAGAGUCUUCUGUUGUGCAAAUAACCAUUAAUACUUGCCCCGUCUGUAGCAGUGGGAGACAAUUAUCCCGAGACAAGACUGCUUUGAACUGAUACAAUCUCUUAAUUAUAUGGUACUCUGUAAUAUAGUCUACCAUCAUUAUAGUAAUAACAGAAUAAAUGAAUGCUCUCUUCACCAAAGUCAUACUUCUAUCCUCCAAAAAUGCCUCCAGACAUCUGAAACUUAUUCUGCAAAUGCUGACACCUGGAAGGAUGAAACCCUGAGACUUUUUUCCAAAGUCCCAGCUGGCUCAUCUCAUAAUAGCACAUUUACUUUUGGGGAAAAAUACCCCACCUUUCCACCUAUUUUUCCCUGGACUUUUCCCUUGGUUUCUGCCCCACCAAUAGAAACAAUGCUAACAUCCCAUUUUAUGGGAUUAACCCAAACGUGGUAAAUCCAUGUUAAUCCAAACACCAUGCCCUACUGACAUGACAGUGACAUACCACUGAAAUAUAAGAACUGUCAAUCAACUAAAGAAGGAAAUUAUAAAGGAAUGAAACCUAAUUGGUGUUGGGAACAAUGGAAUAGGAUUCCCGCCUAUCAGCUAUUCAAACAGGUGGAUGUUUUUGAAGCAAAGUACACAACAGGCAUCAAUAACUCCUUAAUGCAGGUGAACACAUGCAUAUUAGAACACACACUCAUGAUAAACCUCCAAGUAUCACAAUAAUGGAGAAAUAUUUACACAGAUUAAAUUAAUAUUUAUCUCUUUUCUUCCCCAUCCCGUAAGCAAUCCUUACUCUUUGUCAAAAGACCUAUUAAGGUGACACUACAACCCGAGUUAUUCAUGAGAAAACAUUACAGCUGUCCCUAGACAAUCAGAACAUGCUGAAACAGCUGUAUGACAAGAUGAGUCACCAUUAUUAAUCACCGAUUCUUUAUUGCAUGAGGUAGACACACACAAAUGGCCAUGAAGCUGGAAGGUGAUUGCUUCUUGUCUUUUGUGUGAUGACUAGCAGUGCCUUUACCACUGUCCUUCCUCCCAGGGCAGAACUGAAGACCAUUGCUUCACCAAUGUGACCGCAGCUUGUACUUCUGAGGGCUUCUUGUUGUGUGUAAUAGACAAAGCCUAAACACAAUCAUGUCUUGUGAAAAGCCUUACAUGGCUCAGGACCUCAAUACCUUAAGGACCGCCUCUUCCAAUACAACCCAUUUGUCAUCUGAGGCUCUUCUCUAUGUCCCCCUUCCCCAAAAGGUUUGGAGGGAGCGGCAACAAGAGAACAGGCUUUUUCUGUGGUGGCUCCCUGACUGUAGAAUGUUCUCCCCAGAGAGGCUCGCCUGGUGCCACAUGUAAUGUCUUUAGGCACAGGCAAAGACAUUCCUCUUUACCCAGGCCUUUAGCCAUUAAAUAAUCUAUGGCCUGUUAAAUAAUCUAUGGUCUGAUGGGGGAAGAGAGCUGUUAUUAUGAUUAUUUUAUUAUUAUGCUGUCUGUGAUUAUGCUUUUAGUAUUGAUGCUCUGUAAAAUGUAUUCUUAAUGUUGUACACUGCCUCGGGAUCUUUUGAUAAAGGGCAGUAUCUAAAUCAAAUAAAUGAAAUAAAAGGAUAAAAAAGCACUGCAAAUGCAGUUAAUCAUGACUUAUUUAAAUUCCACUGAUUUCAGCAGGGCUUUGUUGUUGUUUAGUCGUGUCCGACUCUUCAUGACCCCAUGGACCAGAGCACGCCAGACACUCCUGUCUUCCACUGCCACCCGCAGUUUGGUCAAACUUAUGCUGGUAGCUUCGAGAACACUGUCCAACCAUCUCAUCCUCUGUCGUCCCCUUGUCCUUGUGCCCUCCAUCUUCCCCAACAUCAGGGUCUUUUCCAGGGAGUCUUCUCUUCGUCACUGCUAACUGCUAACUUUGGCUAAAUUGUGGCCACUCUUUGACGGUUGAGGUUACCUGUUCACAAUUUUUCUUGCACUGUUGACAGUCUUUCAAUGGGCAGUGCUGUUCCAAACUCUGAAGUGUUGGAAUGCUUGAUAUCACGUCUAUUCAAACUCAUUUUGUUUCUAGACAUCUUUCAAACGUGCCAAAUCAAGUGGACUUGACUUCUUCGAGUACACACAAUCUGCUUCUUCUCCAGCCUGCAUUCAGAGCAUGUGUUUCUGUGUGGAAUUCUUUUUGCAACCCCUUCACCCAGCCUCAGUGCAACACACGCUCGUUCAAUGCAAUUUGUUAUAGCUUCACAUUGUUCAAUUUGUUCCUGUACAUAGAAAUUUUAAACUUUCCUCCUGCCUAAAUCUCUUCUAACAGGGAAGGAAAAUAUUUGGAGCUGUCAAGUUAUGGAGCAGUUUCAGUGCCUGACAACCUUCCUGGAAUGAUUAAACUACAUCUGUGCCACCAUAAAAUAUGAAGAGGUAUUAUAUUUCUUUGUACGAUAUGAGUGAAAAAGUUGGAGGGAGAAAUAGAAUGCCCUGUGAUUUAGGAGUGGAAACCACAACAGCAAAACCCACCCGCACAAUAUGCUUCUUGGAUCCCUGAUAUCAUGAACAUGAUUUUCCAUCAUUUGUUUUCACUGCAUCACAGUGUGUUCCAAGGUGAUAAAAAGCAGAUAUAAAUGAAGAUGAGAAAUUACAUUCUAAAACUGAAAAGUAACCUAAAAACACAGCACUAGCCUCAAAAGUGAAUUGAAGACCAUUCCUGAUGAGACUCCUAUGCAUAUAUGAAUACUGUAUUAUUACUAAUGGCUCAUACAAUGUAUCAUGUAUCAAAAAAAUACAUUUAAACCGCCCCCAACCAAUUAUAUUGAAUGUAUAUAACUGCAAUACAUCAUCCUCUGUAUGGUUUAUAAUCUCGCUGUUUAAGAAAUGCACGUAAAUAUUUUAACGGCUACAACAUCACUAAUAUUACACCAAUAUAUACAGAAGAAAAAAUCAUUUAAAGGCCAGCUAGACUUGAUGCCAGAAUGAUCUGACCAGGGUCAUACCAAAUCAUGAUAUGUUGGGGAGGGGUGUGGUCAAUUUAAAACACAACAGAGGGAGGGGAGGGGUCAACUGACCCACCUUUCUGGGGCUUCCACCUGCCCCACUGGGACAUACUGGCCCUGGAGGCAGCUCUGCAUGUCACGUGCCUCAGAAAGCUGUUGGGCUCUCUCUUCUGGAAGCUUCUCCUUUUCCCUAUUGAAAGACAGUGUGGUGCAGUGGUUAGAGCAUCAUACUACAACUUGGGAGACCACUUGCCAUGAAGCUAAGUAACCUUGGGCCAGCCACUGUCUCUCAGCCUAGCCUACCUCACAGGGUCGUUGGGGGGAUUAAAUGAGCUCCUUGGACAAAAAGGUGGGAUAUACAUGCAACAAACAAACAAACCUUUCUGUUACUCAUGCCUUCCCUACCCACCACUGCUCCUUGGCCCUUCCCCCCCCCCUCAUGGUGAGUGAUAUUUAUGGUCCCUGAGUAGGAAGAAAAUGGGAAGAAAUUAUUGUGGGGGAAGGGCAAGGGUCCAGCACCCUCUCCCCACUUAAUGCUUUAAGCAACCAUAUUCUGACACACAGAUAUCUGUAAUAUCAUACUUAACAAGAAGUAAGCGCCGCUGAAUUCAGUGGGACUUAUUCCCACAUGUGUCGAGAAUUGCAGCCUUAGUUUGGUCCUCACAGUUAAAAGAAUGCUAUAACUGAGGUACCUAUAACUGCAGUAAAACAGUGCUUUAAGAAGACUGCCCAGUUUCUGAAAAUAAAUAUCUUAGCUGCUCAAAAACCACAAUUCCAGUGUUGCAAUUGCUUGUAUAAUUCAUCCCAAGGGGUGGGGGGUCCCUAGCUAUAGUUUGCAGGAAGGAAAAAGAGCAUGCAGUGCAAAAAGUCAAGUUACAAAACUCUGAACAUUUCUUGUCAAAAUUAUAUGUCAGCUGAACAAUUCCAGAUCACAUAUGUAAAGAAAUUGUAAUUUAAUGCUUUGUUGAAUCCAUGCCUAGUCCUACGAUUAUGCUCUCAGAAGUGAAUCUCACUGAAUUCAAGGCGACUUACUCCCUAGUCAGCAUGUUUAGGGUAGCAGUCGUAGAUGGACUGUACCAGUAUACGUCUCCACUAGACUGCAUCCUAAUUGUAAUGAUUUCCAAUAUUCAUGAAAAAUAAUAAUUGGCUGAAUAAGUGUUAUCUAAAUGCCCUGAGUAGAAAAAUGAAUUGAUUGCAAUAUGGUGUUUCCAAUGAUUAGGUGAUAUAUGCCUUACAGAUUUCUUUAAAAAUCAAAAUUUCUUACAGCAUCUAAAAAAACACAUCCCUUUCUGAAUAUAAAGCAAAGAGUAUUACCUCUUAAAAUUAACAGAAAUGUAUAAGGUUUGACUAGAACUGCAGUCUGGUUACAGAAUAUUGGGUCACUCAACCUUAACUCACAAUUUCUUCAGUGGAUGCAGGUCAUUCGAAAGAUUACAUUCCAAAAUAUAGCCAAUAAUAAUAGAAGCCACCUAUUAGACUUCUGGCAUGCAAUAUGUCUCACCAUUGGUGAUGCCUGCACAAGACAGAAAGUCAAUGUGGGCUUUUUUUAUGUCAGCAAUUGUGCUGCGAAACCAAACUGUGAAUUCACUUCAACUUUACAUUUUCAAGGGUUUAACUGGAGAUUGAAGAACACUGAGCUAGGCUUUUCAAUCAUCUCUUUCAAUCCUUGUGUAAGGUCUAAUAUCAAUAAUAGCAUGGUAUUACGUUUGCUGGCGAGCAUAUACAGUUCCAUAGAGAAAUACAGUGACCUGUGAGUAAUCUAAUAUAUUAAACAUGAAGUCAGGAUUUGUUGCUUCGGGAUAACAAUCAAUGGAUCCUUAUUGUGUAAACAAGGCCUACUUUAAAGCAGCAAUGUGGCUCUUGUGCCAAGGUUUUGGUUAUUUUUAGCUCAUAGCAUUUUACAUCUUAGUAAGCAUUUUCCUAUACGUUUAAAUGCAGAUUUGUUUUAAGAAUUAUCAGCCACAGUCUAACACAGUUCACUUAAAUCUCUGAAUUUCAAAGGAAUCAAGGGCACCUCUUCCCAUGUUGAACUGAGACCAUCAUUAUGUCCCAGAUUGCGGUAUAUGAUGGGGUAACCAACAUAUGGUGUCCUCCAGAUUUUGCUGGACUACAAUUCACAUCAGCCCUAGCAAGCACAGCUAAUUAUCAGGGAUGAUAGGAACCAUGGUCCAACAGCAUUUGGACCAUCGUCUAUGCCUGGUUAUCCCACACUCAAUUUGGGGCACUAUUAUGUAUGCAGAAUUCUAGAUACCACAUGUCUUCCCUGUAUUACAUUCUUGCUUUAGAGCAAGUUUUAAUCUCAACAGACAUUUGAAGCCCUUGGUUCCACAUCUAGCUUCUUCUCUCUGAUUUAUGCAGCCUACCUUGCUCCCGACCCAGUGUUGGGUGUGGGUGUAACAAUCUGAUUUUAUUUAUUUCAGGUGAUAUCCAACUAAUUCCAUUGGUUUCAGUGGAUUUCCUCUGAAUAUGACUUACUCAGAUAGCAUCUUAAAUUUCAAUUCCAACUUUCUUCCAGAGAGCUAAUGGCAACAUUUAUUUAUUUUAAAUAGGUUUACACUCCCCUUCAUCAAAAAUAUAUCGGGACAGUGCACAAUAUAUGUACAUUUAAAUAAGACAAUAAGUCAACUAUCAUGAAACAAUAAAUAAAAUUAGGCAAGAUCUGGUACAUUAAAAGGCCACCAGGACCCUGCUCAGACCUAGACCUCGUUAGCUUCAGCAACAUUCUUAUACCAGGUUGUUGUACAAGACUUUUUAGAUGGAAUUUCCACUCCCAAAAUCUUAUGAGAGACUGGCUAAUCAAGUAUUCAUGAAGCUGGGUAUCUGAGCUCACUUAAGUUGAGGAUAUGUUUUUGUUCCACAGGAAAGCAUGCAAGCCAGGGAUAGAUAGAAGAGUAAUGGAAGACUGAUGGCCUCCUAAAAAUUUUUUGGAAGGAGGAUAUUCACACGUACACAAGUAUGUCUGUCUUUUACUUGAGUUGAUGUGAGUGAAAAACAAAAUAACCUGCUUCUGGACUCACUACUUGACUUUGGGGUGCCAUAUUCCAGUUCCAAAUAGCCAAUUACAAAGAAGUAUCUGAGUGGCUCUUGUGACGGCAUGCCAGACAGGGAGCGUUGCUAGUGAAUUGUCUUUUUGGUUCUGCUGGAGAGGCGUGGUUGGCGUGGUUGCCCAGACUGGUAGCCAUUAACAGAGCCAGAAAGAAAGCAAACCAUGCAAUUGGGCAAAAAGUACAGCAUUUGAGAGGCCAUGUGACACACUACCCUGCCAUCACCUUCGACCAGGAGGCCUUGUUUCACGAUGAUGGGGUAGACCUUUCUGAUGUCGGCAAUGAUAGCUGGUUGAAUGAUAUUUUAGAGUGUGUCAGGGAUUGGUUGCAGGUGUGAGGGUGUUGGCAGCGAGCCAUUUGGGCUUGAGUGAGGGCUAGGUGUUGGGUAAGUCUUUGUUUAUAGGAAGGUUGUACCCUUCACCUGCCCUUCCUGUUAAAGGGAGCCAGGGG